rnacentral:rRNA from 1 species
UACGAGGGAUGCAAGCGUUAUCCGGAAUUAUUGGGCGUAAAGCGUUUGUAGGCGGGCGAGUGUGUCUAAUGUUAAAUCUUAAAGCUCAACUUUGAAAUUGCGUUAAAAACUGCUUGUCUUGAGUAUGGUAGGGGUAAAGGGAAUUCCCAGUGUAGCGGUGAAAUGCGUAGAUAUUGGGAAGAACACUAAACAGCGAAGGCACUUUAUUAGGCUAAUACUGACGCUGAGAAACGAAAGGUAAGGUAGCGAAACGGAUUAGAUACCCGUGUAGUCUUACCCGUAAACUAUGGACACUAAACGGUAAAUUUUUAAUUUACUGUUAAAGCUAACGCGUUAAGUGUCCCGCCUGGGGAGUAUGCUUGCAAAAGUGAAACUCAAAGGAAUUGACGGGGGCCCGCACAAGCGGUGGAGCAUGUGGUUUAAUUCGACGGUACACGAAGAACCUUACCAGGAUUUGACAUGCUAGAUAGUUGCUUGAAAGAGUAACGUGCCGUAAGGAAUCUAGACACAGGUGGUGCAUGGCUGUCGUCAGUUCGUGUUGUGAAAUGUUGGGUUAAGUCCCGCAACGAACGCAACCCUUGUCUUUAGUUAUUUUCUAAAGAGACUGCCUGUAAUAAACAGGAGGAAGGUAAGGAUGAGGUCAAGUCAUCAUGCCCCUUAUGUCCUGGGCUACACACGUGCUACAAUGGGAAAGACAAUGAGCUGCAAAUCUGUAAAUUUAAGCAAAUCUCUUAAACUUUCUCGUAGUUCGGAUUGUGGGCUGCAACUCGCCCACAUGAAGUUGGAAUCGCUAGUAAUCGCCAGUCAGCUAUAUGGCGGUGAAUCCGUUCCCGGGCCU